rnacentral:rRNA from 1 species
AACGAACGCUGGCGGCAGGCUUAACACAUGCAAGUCGAGCGCGUAGCAAUACGAGCGGCAGACGGGUGAGUAACGCGUGGGAACCUACCGUACCCUACGGAAUAGCUCCGGGAAACUGGAAGUAAUACCGUAUACGCCCGAAAGGGGAAAGAUUUAUCGGGGUAUGAUGAGCCCGCGUUGGAUUAGCUAGUUGGUGGGGUAAAGGCCUACCAAGGCGACGAUCCAUAGCUGGUCUGAGAGGAUGAUCAGCCACAUUGGGACUGAGACACGACCCAAACUCCUACGGGAGGCAGCAGUGGGGAAUAUUGGACAAUGGGCGCAAGCCUGAUCCAGCCAUGCCGCGUGAGUGAUGAAGGUCUUAGGAUUGUAAAGCUCUUUCACCGAUGAAGAUAAUGACGGUAGUCGGAGAAGAAGCCCCGGCAAACUUCGUGCCAGCCGCCGCCGUAACAC